UACAGAGGUCUCAAGCGUUGUUCGGAUUCAUUGGGCGUAAAGGGUGCGUAGGUGGCGCCGUAAGUCAGGUGUGAAAUUUCGGAGCUUAACUCCGAAACUGCAUUUGAUACUGCGGUGCUUGAGGACUGGAGAGGAGACUGGAAUUUACGGUGUAGCAGUGAAAUGCGUAGAGAUCGUAAGGAAGACCAGUGGCGAAGGCGGGUCUCUGGACAGUUCCUGACAUUGAGGCACGAAGGCCAGGGGAGCAAACGGG
rnacentral:rRNA from 1 species